GAUGAACGCUGGCGGCGUGCCUAAUACAUGCAAGUCGAACGGACAGACGCGGCGCUUGCUCCUUUCUCGUUAGCGGAGCACGGGUGUGAAACAUGUGUAUAACCUCCUUAACAGUCUGGGAUCAUUUCGGGAAACCGGCGCUUAUACCGGAUAAUCUACUGAACCGCAUGGUUCAAUAGUGAAAGUCGGUUUUGCUGUCACUUAUAGAUGGAUCUGCGCCGCAGUGGCUAGUUGGUACGGUACCGGCUUAUCAAGGCGACGAUGCGUAGCCGACCUGCGUGAGUGGUAGGCCGCACGGGAAGUGAAACACGGACCAGACGCCUACGGGAGGGAGCAGUAGGGAAUCUUCCGCAAUGGGCGAAAGCCUUACGGAGCGACGCCACGUGAGUUAUAAAGGUCUUGGGAGCGGGAUACUCUGUUAUGAGGUGAAAACAAAUGUGGAAGGAGCUGUGGACUGAGUGACGGUACCGAAUAAGAAAGCCACGGCUAACUACGUG
rnacentral:rRNA from 1 species